rnacentral:rRNA from 1 species
CGCAUCUAUGCAUGCAGCAUAUCAAUAAGCGGAGGAAAAGAAACUAACAAGGAUUCCCCUAGUAACGGCGAGUGAAGCGGGAAGAGCUCAAAUUUGAAAUCUUAAAGGGUUUCCCUUUACGAAUUGUAGUUUAAAGGAAGUGUUUUCUGUUGAGGUUUUGGUAAAAGUUCUUUGGAAUAGGACAUCAUAGAGGGUGAGAAUCCCGUAUUUGACCUUUACUUUCAACUUUGUGAUACACUUUCAAAGAGUCGGAUUGUUUGGGAAUGCAGUCCAAAAUGGGUGGUAAAUUUCAUCUAAAGCUAAAUAUUGGCGAGAGACCGAUAGCGAACAAGUACCGUGAGGGAAAGAUGAAAAGAACUUUGAAAAGAGAGUUAAACAGUACGUGAAAUUGUCAAAAGGGAAGCGUUUGACACCAGUGUUGUUUUUCUGAAAAUCAAUUAAAGAACUGUUUAUGCUAAGCUGUUUAGACUUUAUCAGCUAACUGUUUAGUUUUGAGCUUUUCUUUAAUGCACUUUUCAGUUAACAAGUCAACAUCAAUUUCUUUUGCUGUAAAAAAGCUUGAGGAAGGUGGCUUGAGAUUCGUCUUAAGUGUUUAUAGCCUCUUGCCUAUGCAGUCGGAGAGAUUGAGGUCUGCAGCGUAGAUCCUUCGGGGCUAAAUGCAUUUGUGCUAAGUUAUAGCAUUUUAUAGACAACUUGUUGACUAUGAUUUGUCUUGUAGCUUACUCGCUUAUGUUAUUUUACCUACGCUUAGGAUGUUGAGCGCAUGUCUCUCUCU